AUCUGAAUCUCAUGGAAACAUCUGAGCUGCAUGAUAAUCAUGAUCAUGAUCCAAUUCUUAUCUAUCCCUCCAUUUCGGAAAUGAAGAAAGGGACAGAACCAGUUGAUAUUGAUCUAUCCAUUAGUCAUGCCAGUGUAUCUGGUGGAUUCAGUACUUGUACAACAGGCAGCAAAGAGAUUGAAAUAAUUGAUCUAGAAAGUGAUUCUGUUCAAGAAGGAAGACCUGCUGACAAUAAGGAGAGAAAGACAGAGGCAAUGUUUGCAGGUCUUGAAGGCUUUUCUAACCACGCUCAAAAUGCUGCUGAAUUACAUGAUGUCCAGGAUGGUGGUUAUGGGCUAAUGCUGUCAGAAUGCUUGGGUCUGAUUUCCCAAACUGUUCUUCAGUGCCAGGGGAUAUGAACUCUGUGCACAAUGAAAUGGGCCUUCAUAAUGGACCGGGAAACUUGGUGAGGAUGAUUCAAUAUAUAUGACGCUGGGGGAAAUACCAUUAAGCUUUUUGCAGAACUGGGAGCAGCCACCAUCACAGGAGUACGAGAAGCACUUCUAAUCUGUCCCUCGAUUUCUCUAAUGGGGCAUGAUUUAUUGCGAGAAAUUGUCUGGGCUCAUCAUGCCUUUUGAAUAGAUUCUUUCUUCAACUACGGCGACUCACCCAAAAUAGGAGCUUUCACUUCAGCAGAAGGCAGGAUACCAUUAAGUUGUGGAAUGCAUGAGUCGCAAAACACCUGAUGAAAACGUUUCUGCAACUCUGUUUUGUUCCUUGUAAAUCCUCGGGGAUCAAACCAUCGUGGAAUUUCCGGGCGAAGUCCUGCAUAAUCAGUUUGUGAACCUUUUCUCUUUUUAUAAUUAAAAAUCAAUUUGUAAACCCUUGUGUUGCUUUCUGUACCAUUAUCAAUGGUGGUACCAAGUCGUGUUUUAAAAGGUAGCGUGGAA